AUUGAACGCUGGCGGCAGGCUUAACACAUGCAAGUCGAGCGAGCGGCGGACGGGUGAGUAAUGUCUGGGAAACUGCCUGAUGGAGGGGGACAACUACUGGAAACGGUAGCUAAUACCGCAUACCAUCAGAUGUGCCCAGAUGGGAUUAGCUAGUAGGUGGGGUAAAGGCUCACCUAGGCGACGAUCCCUAGCUGGUCUGAGAGGAUGACCAGCCAACCUGGAACUGAGAAACGGUCCCGACUCCUACGGGGGGGAGCAGUGGGGAAUAUUGGACAAUGGGCGAAAGCCUGAUGCAGCCAUGCCGCGGGGGUGAAGAAGGCCUUCGGGUUGUAAAGCACUUUCAGCGAGGAGGCGUUACUCGCAGAAGAAGCACCGGCUAACUCCGUGCCAGCAGCCGCGGUAAUAC
rnacentral:rRNA from 1 species